UUUUCAGAUUUGAUUCAGAAUCUAGUUGUAGUUGUUCUUGGUUGCAAAAUACGUUUUCUAACGUAAUCAUGCUGGAGAUUGGAGAUUUGUUUUGAGUUGCGUCUGACCGUAUCAUUGAGUGCUCUACUGAAUGCUCGACUACUCUGUGUAUUACUCGAUUCGAUGUUUCACACAGAGAAUUUUUAAACAUAUUCUUCAUUGCGGAAUUUUGGGAAUUUUGAAGAAUUAAGAAUAUAUUCUCUCAUUUUCAUAGUGGUUCAUUUAUUCUACCUGCUAUUGUCUAUUGGAAAUCAGUCGCAGUGCUUUGCAAGGCACGAUACUAAUAUAUUCACUGACAAUAAUCAAAAUGAAGAUACCACGCACGAGAUUGAGGAUGAUUCAGACGUAGAAUCGAUCAAAAUUGAAAUUGUGGAUGAGGAUUUCAUAUUUAAUAACGAGCUAGAUAUGACAGGAAUUUUCGGCGAUACUUGUACAAAAAGGCAUUCAUCCGAAACUCAGCCAGACUCCGUUGAACUGACCGAACGUUAAACCAACGAUCAAAUAGAAUCUCAAUUAAGUAUGUCGCGUGCAUAUCGUCGCUAUGAAAAUAUACCCGAGACAUGUGCAAAUUAUACUGGAACAUUACCCUGCCGUUUCUCUGUUUGCGUAAAUACACACUACAGUCUAUCUUCUGGUUCUGUUCUGCGCAUGAUAAGAUUUUUUCUACCCGCACACGGCAGCUUUGGAUGAAUAAUUGCUUUAUUCAAGAUCGUCGAAUUCAUGCGCUUUAUGACAAUUUACACUUAUAAUUUUGUCUAACGAAAUUUCUUCCAACAGCUCUAACAAGACUAAAGGAUCGACGAUACCAGCUUCACGAUUUCCGGUAAAAGCACCAACCAACAAACGCGGGCAAAGCCAAUCUCUUCUCGCCUAACGAAAUUCUUACACAAUUUAAACGGCGCAGCCGUCUUCAAAGCCCUGGUACAAAGUGAUUCGCCGUCGGAAAAGCUAACGCAAAAUCUACAUCAGCAUUCAAUUAAUUCGCCUUUGAGGCGCUCGCUCGUAUGUACACAAGAAAAGCUACUUAAAUUUUUCAUCGACAGGCGACGUCGGAGGAUUUUGCUUUCGUUUUUAUCAGCGAUUCAUCGGCGAUUUUUAACGAGGGCAGACGUGCACGAAUCGAGUGUUUUAACCGGCAGCUUUUCCGAUUGGUCGGGGCUAAUAUUGGCCGAGUCAAGGAAGCGUGAUGAGCCGUUUACUCGACGACUGACAGGCUGUGCAGAACAUUUUUCGAUGGGGAAUCAAAUUUCCAAACGAGCUAUAUCGAAGGCGAUUGGGUGUCGGUUGAAACAGAUGCGAUUGAUUUGUAAUUUAAUUUACAGUUGAUUUGAAAAGCGUUGAUGAACAAGUAAAAUUAGUUAAUACUUCUCGUAAUAAUUUUUAAGGGCCGCCAGAAUUGUAGCUUCUGCAAAAAAGCAAAUGUACUUCUCAUACAUUUUUUGUACAUGCACAAUUCAAGUUUUAAUAAAGUAUGUCUAGGAACACGCAGAUGUUCAUGCACG